rnacentral:rRNA from 1 species
UACAGAGACCUCAAGCGUUAUCCGGAAUCAUUGGGCGUAAAGCGUACCGAUCGGUGGCUAAGAAAGUCAGAAGUGAAAUCUCUACAGCUUAACUGGGAGACUGUCUUUUGAAACUUCUUAGCUCGGAGGGGCAAAGAGGAAGCUGGAACGGAACGGUGUAGUAGUGAAAUGCGUUGAUAUCGUUCGGAACACCAAUAGCGAAGGCAGGCUUCUGGGGUGCCACCUGACACCUGCUAGGACGAAAAGCGUGGGGGAGCGAAUGGA